UGGACUCUGAAUCCAGCGAUCCGAGU
rnacentral:piRNA from 11 species